UGGUCUUGACAUCCACAGAACUUUCCAGAGAUGGAUUGGUGCCUUCGGGAACUGUGAGACAGGUGCUGCAUGGCUGUCGUCAGCUCGUGUUGUGAAAUGUUGGGUUAAGUCCCGCAACGAGCGCAACCCUUAUCUUUUGUUGCCAGCGGUCCGGCCGGGAACUCAAAGGAGACUGCCAGUGAUAAACUGGAGGAAGGUGGGGAUGACGUCAAGUCAUCAUGGCCCUUACGACCAGGG
rnacentral:rRNA from 1 species